rnacentral:rRNA from 1 species
UGGGGAAUAUUGGACAAUGGGCGAAAGCCUGAUCCAGCCAUUCCGCGUGUGUGAAGAAGGUCUUCGGAUCGUAAAGCACUUUAAGUUGGGAGGAAGGGCAGUAAGCGAAUACCUUGCUGUUUUUACGUUACCGACAGAAUAAGCACCGGCUAACUCUGUGCCAGCAGCCGCGGUAAUACAGAGGGUGCAAGCGUUAAUCGUAAUUACUGGGCGUAAAGCGCGCGUAGGUGGUUCGUUAAGUUGAAUGUGAAAGCCCCGGGCUCAACCUGGGAACUGCAUCCGAAACUGGCGAGCUAGAGUAGGGCAGAGGGUGGUGGAAUUUCCUGUGUAGCGGUGAAAUGCGUAGAUAUAGGAAGGAACACCAGUGGCGAAGGCGACCACCUGGGCUCAUACUGACACUGAGGUGCGAAAGCGUGGGGAGCAAACAGG